AAAAGAAAGUUUACGAAUUUGUGUUGGGUUGGAUUCAAAGUCGUCCUGGGCCAUAUGCGGUCCACAGGCUGAGGUUUGGACAAGUUUGGUGUAGAGAAUGAAAGGGAUGAGGCCUUUGCUCCAGCCUUGGAGCCAUUGAUCAGGAUAGUUUUUAGAGUGUACCUCUUUGCUUAAAAGGCAGAGGGUCCACCCUGGGCAACAUAGCAAGGCCCCACCUACAAAAGAACUACAAACAACUGGGCGUGGUGGUGCACUCUUGCAGUCCCAUCUGCUUAGGAGACUGAGGCAGGAGCAUUGCUUAAGCCCAGGAGUUGGAAGCUACAGUGAGCCAUGAUUACACCACUGCACUCCAGCCUGGGUGAUAGAGGGAGACUCCUCAAAAAAAAAAAGAAAGGCAAAGGGUCUUCUAAACUGUUUUCAGGGAAGGUGAACUGUGUUUGAG
rnacentral:lncRNA from 10 species